AUCUUCUUCCAAAGGACUGACUAUUUUUACGUUAAACCCCCUAGUUCAAGAUGAUAAGCCUUCUAACACAAUAUUGAUGUCUAUCAGCAUGGAACACUCAUGAGCACGCACAUAAUCCUACACAUCCAAUGGCAACAAACGUUCAUGAUUCACAUGGUUUGGUCCAACCAUACCAUGGUGCAUUAUAAUAUUGAAGUAUGCAAACUAUCAAUUCAGUUCAAACAUUAAAUAUUAACUGCAACUGCAGUUAAUCUUCGUUCACAGGGAAAGCAAGGAGACGAAAACUGACCCCAAUCCUCCAUCUUUGGCGUAGAAUUUGAAGCUUGGGGAAGCUGUCUGCGCUGCAUUUUGCUAGACGUUUACCAAUUGAGUACCCGAGCAAAACCAAAGCCGUGAAUUGGGGCAACGAGUGAAGGAUGGCAAAGGGGUCUUGGGUGAUAAUGGAAUGGGCUAAGGCUAGGGUUGCAAGAGACUCGGGCACACUAUCCGAAAGAAAUGAAGAUUCGCAGUCGACGGAGGCAUGGCAUCGCUCCCUUCUCCAAUUCUUCCCCUCAAUUUGAAAACCCAGAAAACCAGAAGAAGCCCAGGGAAGCACUUUUCUAGCUUGGCUUUUACCGUGUAGCCUACACUAAACUUCAGGCUUCAGCUCCACCAAAACUAUUAACUUUUGAGAACCACUCGAGCUAAGCCCCAUUUUUUUUAUCGUUUUACGUAUAAUCUAAACAGAAAGAUUU
rnacentral:lncRNA from 1 species